rnacentral:lncRNA from 1 species
CCUCCAAGGUGAAGCUUGAGUCCAUGGCUUGGCACAUGCUGAGGAUAUGCUCUAAUGUGGCUGUCUCGCCGCAUGCCGAGCAUAGUCCGUUCGGGAAGACGUCCGGGUAUGUCUCGUGAAGAUACGCAGGACUGGGAUACGAUUUGGUUUGGAGUAGUCGAAGGGAGACUGCUUGGGGUCUGUUGAGGUUAGGGUUUAAAGCGCGAGGAUUACGG